rnacentral:rRNA from 1 species
UACGGGGGGGGGUAAGCGUUGUUCGGAAUUACUGGGCGUAAAGGGCUCGUAGGCGGCCAACUAAGUCAUACGUGAAAUCCCUCAGCUUAACUGGGGAACUGCGUGUGAUACUGGAUGGCUUGGAUUUGGGAGAGGGAUGCGGAAUUCCAGGUGUAGCGGUGAAAUGCGUAGAUAUCUGGAGGAACACCGGUGGCGAAGGCGGCUCACUGGACCGGUACUGACGCUGAGGCGCGAAAGCGUGGGGAGCAAACGGG